UACGGAGGGUGCAAGCGUUAUCCGGAUUCACUGGGUUUAAAGGGUGCGUAGGCGGGCAGGUAAGUCCGUGGUGAAAUCCCCGAGCUUAACUCGGGAACUGCCAUGGAUACUAUUUGUCUUGAAUAUUGUGGAGGUAAGCGGAAUAUGUCAUGUAGCGGUGAAAUGCUUAGAUAUGACAUAGAACACCAAUUGCGAAGGCAGCUUGCUACACAGUUAUUGACGCUGAGGCACGAAAGCGUGGGGAGCAAACAGG
rnacentral:rRNA from 1 species